GGUAUAGCUCAGUGGUAGAGCAUGCACGAGGUCCUGGGUUCAAUCCCCAGUACC
rnacentral:tRNA from 1 species